rnacentral:rRNA from 1 species
AGCGAACGCUGGCGGCAGGCCUAACACAUGCAAGUCGAACGAACCUUUCGGGGUUAGUGGCGGACGGGUGAGUAACACGUGGGAACGUGCCUUUAGGUUCGGAAUAACUCAGGGAAACUUGUGCUAAUACCGAAUGUGCCCUUCGGGGGAAAGAUUUAUCGCCUUUAGAGCGGCCCGCGUCUGAUUAGCUAGUUGGUUGAGGUAAUGGCUCACCAAGGCGACGAUCAGUAGCUGGUCUGAGAGGAUGAUCAGCCACAUUGGGACUGAGACACGGCCCAAACUCCUACGGGAGGCAGCAGUGGGGAAUCUUGCGCAAUGGGCGAAAGCCUGACGCAGCCAUGCCGCGUGAAUGAUGAAGGUCUUAGGAUUGUAAAAUUCUUUCACCGGGGACGAUAAUGACGGUACCCGGAGAAGAAGCCCCGGCCAACUUCGUG